AACGAACGCUGGCGGCAGGCCUAACACAUGCAAGUCGAACGCCCCGCAAGGGGAGUGGCAGACGGGUGAGUAACACGUGGGAACCUUCCCUAUAGUACGGAAUAGCCCAGGGAAACUUGGAGUAAUACCGUAUACGCCCGAAAGGGGAAAGAAUUUCGCUAUAGGAUGGGCCCGCGUAGGAUUAGCUAGUUGGUGAGGUAAUGGCUCACCAAGGCGACGAUCCUUAGCUGGUUUGAGAGAACGACCAGCCACACUGGGACUGAGACACGGCCCAGACUCCUACGGGAGGCAGCAGUGGGGAAUAUUGGACAAUGGGCGCAAGCCUGAUCCAGCCAUGCCGCGUGAGUGAUGAAGGCCUUAGGGUUGUAAGGCUCUUUUGCCGGGGACGAUAAUGACGGUACCCGGAGAAUAAGUCCCGGCUAACUUCGUGCCAGCCGCCGCAGUAAAAC
rnacentral:rRNA from 1 species